UAGGGAAUAUUGGACAAUGGGGGCAACCCUGAUCCAGCCAUGCCGCGUGAGUGAAGAAGGCCCUCGGGUUGUAAAGCUCUUUUGUCCGGAAAGAAAAGCAUUCGGUGAAUACCCGGAUGUUCUGACGGUACCGGAAGAAUAAGCACCGGCUAACUUCGUGCCAGCAGCCGCGGUAAUACGAAGGGUGCAAGCGUUACUCGGAAUUACUGGGCGUAAAGCGUGCGUAGGUGGUUGUUUAAGUCUGAUGUGAAAGCCCUGGGCUCAACCUGGGAAUGGCAUUGGAAACUGGGCAGCUAGAGUGCGGUAGAGGGUAGUGGAAUUCCCGGUGUAGCAGUGAAAUGCGUAGAGAUCGGGAGGAACAUUUGUGGCGAAGGCGACUGCCUGGACCAGCACUGACACUGAGGCACGAAAGCGUGGGGAGCAAAC
rnacentral:rRNA from 1 species